ACACGCGACGUGCUACGUGUAAUAGCCGAAAUCGCACACGCGUACACGCGUCAACGGGCUUGAUGCAGCUUCUUGACGCAACCGUCGCACAAAUCUACGUUUAUAAUACAAUAAUAAUUGUUGAUCAUUAUUGUAGGUGCGCGUUACUGCGAUGACUGCAUAUUUUUAUCAGUUGUAUUUUCAAUUUCAUUUGGUUCAACACUCAAUGUAGUAUCAUCAGACUGCAAUGACCGCAUACUUGCACCAGUUGUAUUUUCAAUUUCAUUUGAUUGAACAUUCAAAGGAGGAUCAAGUAUCUAAAACAUUAAACU